CAUAUCUGAAGCACUGUAAAAUAUAUUGAAAUAUAUUUUGAAAACACUGGAUGGGCGCGCGCUGAACUGGAGCGGAGGAGGUCACCAUGGAAACGGGGCGGCAGCUCAACUGUCAAGCACCUGAACGCUGUCUCUCAUGGUUGUUUUCACUCAUUUCAGAAAUGGUUUAUUGUCUUCAGAAAAAGUCCGUUAGCAUCUCAACCUUAAUGCUAACUACAAGAGAGACUGAAAAUCAUCGAUAAACCACAAGAGUUUAGCUCCAACCCCAAUUAAGCAGACCUGAGCAGCUGAUCAAAGAUCACCAGAAACUCUGCAGAACGGUGGUCCUGCAUGCCCAGGACUGGACACCAGUGUUAUGCUGGAGAAAAAACAGCGAAAAAACAUCUGCCAUGGCUCAUUAAUCCAGAAUUGGGAUGGUGGAAGGAGCAGAAGAACCAGAAGAUCAGAGAUCAGGCAGAGAUCUACUGGUGCCCCUGUGGGAACCAAUUUACCUAAUGAGUUAGUUAAACCAAAGAUUUUUCAUCACUCACCUUUAUGUUGUUCCAAGUCAGACUUUUGUUUCAUCUUUGAAACAUAAAUGCAGAACUUUUUAAUGAAAUCUGAGAAAUUAUUUUUUUUUAUUUAUAAAAUAAAACAUUCACGAGAGCACCAUGAUGCAUUAGUGUUGAGUUGGUGUGAGAGCUGGCAAUCUCAUGGUACUUUUGUGAAAAUCUGUUGGGGAUACAUCAUUUCUGAAUACAUUAUUUUUAUUUAUUUUUUUUGCUGUUGUUGUUUUUUGUACACAAGGCAUCUGUUAAAAAAUCUUAAUUUGUGUUCUGCACAAAAGGGUCUUAUGGGUUUGAAGCAACAUGAGGGUAAGUAAUUAAUGACAGAAUUUACAUUUUUGGUUGUUCUAAUGUGGUUAUAAUUGGUCAUUGUUUCCAUUUUCAAUAUUUUAAAGAUUUAUUGUCUUGAAAAAUUAUGUUUAUACAGAAAGAUUGAUUCAUUGGAUAAGUUACAG